CCCCUUAUGUCCAGGGCUUCACGCAUGCUACAAUGGCUGGUACAGAGAGUGGCGAGCCUGUGAGGGUGAGCGAAUCUCGGAAAGCCGGUCUCAGUUCGGAUUGGGGUCUGCAACUCGACCUCAUGAAGUCGGAGUCGCUAGUAAUCGCAGAUCAGCAACGCUGCGGUGAAUACGUUCCCGGGGCUUGUACACACCGCCCGUCAAGUCAUGAAAGUUGGUAACACCCGAAGCCGGUGGCCUAACCGUUGUGGGGGAGCCGUCGAAGGUGGGACUGGUGAUUAGGACUAAGUCGUAACAAGGUAGCCGUACCGGAAGGUGCGGCUGGAUCACCUCCUUUCUAAGGAG
rnacentral:rRNA from 1 species